rnacentral:misc_RNA from 1 species
UUAACUUAUUUGUUUGUGACUCGGACAUUAUAAAAAUCAAGAGUUUAGGGUCCUCUGGCAGGCGCGGACCAGCCUAGGCCAGUGGUCAUAAGACGGGCCUGCCAAAGCAACAAAGGUAAUAUAAACAAAGGGUGGGAGAUCUACCCCGGAGGGCAAUUUCUCUGUAAUGAUCCUUCCGCAGGUUCACCUACGGAAA